AAAUUGAAGAGUUUGAUCAUGGCUCAGAUUGAACGCUGGCGGCAGGCCUAACACAUGCAAGUCGAACGGUAGCACAGAGAGCUUGCUCUCGGGUGACGAGUGGCGGACGGGUGAGUAAUGUCUGGGAAACUGCCUGAUGGAGGGGGAUAACUACUGGAAACGGUGGCUAAUACCGCAUAACGUCGCAAGACCAAAGAGGGGGACCUUCGGGCCUCUUGCCAUCAGAUGUGCCCAG
rnacentral:rRNA from 1 species